GAUGAACGCUGGCGGCGUGCCUAACACAUGCAAGUCGAGCGUGAACCCUGCGAAUGAAACUUCGGUCGAUUUGCGAGGGGGAAAGCGGGCGGACGGGUGAGUAACGCGUAGGUAACCUGCCCCAUACUGAGGGAUAGCCUCGGGAAACCGGGAUUAAUACCUCAUAACACCGUAUAUUCGCAUGGAUGUGCGGUCAAAGAUUUAUCGGUAUGGGGAUGGGCCUGCGUCUGAUUAGCUGGUUGGUGGGGUAACGGCCUACCAAGGCGACGAUCAGUAGCCGACCUGAGAGGGUGAUCGGCCACAUUGGAACUGAGACACGGUCCAAACUCCUACGGGAGGCAGCAGUGGGGAAUAUUGCACAAUGGGCGAAAGCCUGAUGCAGCAACGCCGCGUGAGCGAAGAAGGCCUUUGGGUCGUAAAGCUCUGUCGGGUAGGAAGAUAAUGACGGUACUACCCGAGGAAGCCCCGGCUAACUACGUG
rnacentral:rRNA from 1 species